GACGAACGCUGGCGGCGUGCCUAACACAUGCAAGUCGAGCGGAGCGGCGAACGGGUGAGUAACUCGUGAGUAACUGCCCCCCUCCCUGGGGUAACAGUUGGAAACGGCUGCUAAUACCUGAUAGCGGGGGAUGACUCGCGUCCUAUCAGCUUGUUGGUGGGGUAGUGGCCUACCAAGGCGACGGCGGGUAGCCGGCCUGAGAGGGCGAUCGGCCACAUUGUGCUUAGGUACGGCGCAAACUGGUACUAGCGGCAGCAGUGGGGAAUCUUGACCAAUGGAGGCAACGCGGAUGAAGAAGCGCCGCGUGCGGGAUAACAGUCUUCGGGGUGUAAACCGCUUUCAGCCAUGAAGCGGUGAUGGCAGAAGAAGCACCGGCUAACUACGUGCCAGCAGCCGCGGUAAUAC
rnacentral:rRNA from 1 species